ensembl:snoRNA SNORD39 Small nucleolar RNA SNORD55/SNORD39
CAUGUAUGAUGAUAUCUUGGUAAUGUUAUAGAGUCCAAGUGCAUAGUGGAGAAGCCAACCUUGGAGAGCUGAGAGUGUG